GAUGAACGCUGGCGGCGUGCCUAAUACAUGCAAGUCGAGCGAACGGACAAGGAGCUUGCUCCUUUGAAGUUAGCGGCGGACGGGUGAGUAACACGUGGGUAACCUACCUAUAAGACUGGAAUAACUCCGGGAAACCGGGGCUAAUGCCGGAUAACAUGUUGAACCGCAUGGUUCAACAGUGAAAGACGGUCUUGCUGUCACUUAUAGAUGGACCCGCGCCGUAUUAGCUAGUUGGUGGGGUAACGGCCUACCAAGGCGACGAUACGUAGCCGACCUGAGAGGGUGAUCGGCCACACUGGAACUGAGACACGGUCCAGACUCCUACGGGAGGCAGCAGUAGGGAAUCUUCCGCAAUGGGCGAAAGCCUGACGGAGCAACGCCGCGUGAGUAAUGAAGGUCUUCGGAUCGUAAAGCUCUGUUGUUAGGGAAGAACAAAUGUGUAAGUAACUGUGCACGU
rnacentral:rRNA from 1 species